AUUUUUGACAAUAAGACAAUAUGUCAUGAUACACACAUCAUUGGGUAUUGUUGGUUUCUUUUUGUCUUAGCACGAGGCUCUCAAGGACAUGUCGAUGGAACUAGUAGUAGCACCUUUAGGUCCUUCAGAACAUUUCCUGCCGAAAAUAUGUCUAAAAGUAUAUGGUAACCUUCAAUAAAUAACUAAAUUUUUGGAUUUUAUGUUAUUUGUUUCACCCUAACCUAACAAAUUUUUGACAAUAAGACAAUAUGUCAUGAUACACACAUCAUUGGGUAUUGUUGGUUUCUUUUUGUCUUAGCACGAGGCUCUCAAGGACAUGUCGAUGGAACUAGUAGUAGCACCUUUAGGUCCUUCAGAACAUUUCCUGCCGAAAAUAUGUCUAAAAGUAUAUGCAAGAAGCACUCAAGGAGAUGUCUAUAGAACUAGUUCUGUGAUCCAUCCAGUUCUUUUUCAGGAGUUUCCUGCUGGCAAACUGCCUGAAAUCAUGCCGAAGGAAAACUGCUACCAAUGGUUCAAUAAAUAACUUUAACUUGUAAAUAAUUAAUGUUUUUACCUGUUUCCUCCCAACCAAAUAUAUUAUUGACAGUAAAUUAUGGCUUUAAUAUUCAUAUGUUAUUGGUUAUUGUUGGUUUCAUUUUGUCUUAGCACGAAGCUCUCAAGGAGAUGUCGAUGGAACUAGUUCUGGCAUCCAUCCAGUUCUUUUUCAGGAGUUUCCUGCUGGCAAACUGCCUGAAAGCAUGCCGGAGGAGAACUGCUACCAGAGGUUCAAUAAAUGACUUUAACUUGUAAAUAAUCGAUGUUUUUACUUGUUUCCUCCCAACCAAAUAUAUUAUUGACACACGAAGCUUUCAAGGAGAUGUCGAUGGAAUUAGUUCUGGGAUCCAUCCAGUUCUUCUUCAGGAGUUUCCUGCUGGCAAACUGCCUGAAAUCAUGCCGGAGGAGAACUGCUACGUGAGGUUCAAUAAAUUACUUUAACUUCUAAA